UACGGAGGGUGCAAGCGUUAUCCGGAUUUACUGGGUUUAAAGGGUGCGUAGGUGGGUCUGUAAGUCAGUGGUGAAAUCUCCGAGCUUAACUCGGAAACUGCCAUUGAUACUAUAGGUCUUGAAUUAUCUGGAGGUAAGCGGAAUAUGUCAUGUAGCGGUGAAAUGCUUAGAUAUGACAUAGAACACCGAUUGCGAAGGCAGCUUACUACGGAUUGAUUGACACUGAGGCACGAAAGCGUGGGGAUCAAACAGG
rnacentral:rRNA from 1 species